rnacentral:rRNA from 1 species
CAGCCGCCGCGGGAAUACAGAGGGUGCGAGCGUUAAUCGGAUUUACUGGGCGUAAAGCGUGCGUAGGCGGCUUCUUAAGUCGGAUGUGAAAUCCCUGAGCUUAACUUAGGAAUUGCAUUCGAUACUGGGAAGCUAGAGUAUGGGAGAGGAUGGUAGAAUUCCAGGUGUAGCGGUGAAAUUCGUAGAGAUCUGGAGGAAUACCGAUGGCGAAGGCAGCCAUCUGGCCUAAUACUGACGCUGAGGUACGAAAGCAUGGGGAGCAAACAGGAUUAGAUACCCCUGUAGUCCCUGUCUCUUAUAA